UCUACCCCGACUCUCUCCCGAACCCUAUCCCAAUUCCAUCGCCGCCGCCCACUGGACUCUCGCCCCAUCUCGAUCUGCUCCGGCAAUGACAACUCAUGCGUCUCUGCCUUUGCGGCCACCUCUCCCUCGACAACCCCUCGUCUCUCCCUCUCUCGGCAUGGAGUAGCAGCGGGCUGGCGGGCGUGUGGCAUGCCAGCAGCGGCUACGGCGGAUUGUACGAAGGCUAGCAACGAUGGCACCAGUUAUGCGGAAUGGAAAGGAGCUUGCAACAGAUGAAGCAACCACCCGGAUGAUCAUUGUUCUGAAGUGAUUUCAGCAUGCAUUGGCACCUUAUUUUCUUCCUCGGCAUUUUCCAAAUUGCAACAACAGCAGCAGACUUAGUUCACACUGGCGAAGGCAAAGUGAACGGACGCUACUUGGCGGCGCCGCUGGUAGUAUGUACCGACGUCCCUAAGCGAGCAGUUGUCCAGAUGGUUGCCGCGCUUCCGUCCUCCUUACAUGCAGGGCUGCUCCUUCUCCUGUAAUCCAUCCUGACUCGUCUCCUCUGCAAUGAAGUGAUGACGUUGGUGGCCUGGUGUGCACCAUGGUAUUGGUAGCUCCCUCUUCCCUAUUGCACGCAGGAGGUUCUUGCUCAAAAAAAGGUAAUGUUGUAUUUGAGAAGACUGGUCGGCAACCGACACUCAAAGCACUUAAGAUAAGAUGACGAAGAAUGUGAUAUGCACUUCUUGAAAUCAUCUGUUAUAUAUUUAAUUGAGAUCAAACCUAGCUAUGUGUCAACAUGGUGUUGUGUAGAACUGAGUUUUCUAUGGAUGUUGAGGCUUCAUAGUCUUCUACUCUUCUGGUAUCUGGUUGUAUUUUGGUAUCCAUCUGGCCAGGUAAGCAUCCAUGUUUACGCAGACUAUAUAUGAAUAGAAGCUAUCCUUGAGAGUUAACAUGGACAAUAAGCAAAGUAGUGGCUCUGGUGUAUCAUUUCUUUACGACUUGCAUGUUCCCAGUUUAUCAUUGAGCUAUCGACAUAGCUGAAUUUGAGACUGCAUAUAUAUGCUUAUAUCCAAUUUAGACUUUGUAUCUUCCAUUUUUUCUCGAAUAUUUGUGCCUUCUAGAUUUUUCCAAUCCUUCUAUCAGUCUUUUGUCAGAAUAGACUAGCACGACAAUGUGUGAAUUGCCCUUAAAAAACCAGAAUUGUCAGAUCUUGCAUUAGUUUUUCUGUUCUUAACUUUCGCUAAUAAUUUGAUUUGAAGAGCAUGCUGAUUUCCACGCAUUUUCCCUUUUGGUAUUGCAAGGUAUCGGCGAGGUUCCACAUCAAAUAAUACUGUUGAAUGAUGAUUUUGCCAAUAUUUUGAUUUGAAGAGCACAGACAUUUCCCCUUUUAGCUGUUGGUAUUAGUGAGUUUCCACAUCAAAGCUGCAGACGACAUCACAUUUAUUUUAGAAAAGGAGGAUCGCCUGCAUCUGGACGAUGCAUGCAACCAUUUUAUUAAUUAUUCACAAAAGACCUUACAAAGAAAUAUAACAAUAAGUCUGAAGCCACCGACUAGGCGACAACUGUCCAUCUGAUGAAGAGAUGCUGAUAGUCCGGGCCUAAUACCACAGACCUCGCAGAGAAGCCUAACAUCUAAGACCUGAGGCCCCAACCAAGCCACUUGCCGGGUAUGGGGCACCCACCGGUUCGGCAUGCUCUCAGAGGCCGCCGCCGCCAACUGCCACUACUGCAUCUUCAGAGCUGUACUGACGCAUCAUCCUUGCCUGGUCUAUCCGCCGUCAACGCCACCACGGCGCCCAACGGCACCACCACCCUGCGCACGAAUUGCUGAACACGUCGCGGUCGCCACCGGUACACCUCAGCUCCAUGCCGCCAAGUACCACCAGCCGACACAGCUUGAAGUUUCUAGAAGAUCUGUCAUGCGUAGCAUGUGCCGACCAGGCAUGAAAAGCGUAGCACCUGUCGUCGAGGCAUGACUUGACAUCUCCACCAAAGCUCCGUGCAAGACGAAGCCGCUCCAUCUCCUGCCUCUGACCACCAGCACUGCUCCACAAACGAUGCUCAUAAGAGAGAAACGCCACCGCAGUACCGUCAUCGUCCGAUCUGGAAGACCAGAUCAUAGGGUUUCCCCUAGAGCAGUACGAGUGGGUCGACAUAAGUCACACAACGAUGCCUUCGUCAAGGUAACGACGUAGAACGCCGCCAUCGCUCGCCGUCGGCUCGGUUUUCACCAGCAACUAUGUCUCCCCGACUCGCAACCAGUACUGGAUCAUGGAUUCGGAGAUCCGAACACCCAGCCUCAGGCCGACCACCUCUGACGGAAGAGAUGACCACCACCGCCGGUCGCAUCGGUCAGAACAAAUCUGACCGGAUGUGCUGCCGACGAAACCACCAGACCCUCCACGCCGCCGCUGCCGAUCUGAAGAAAGUUUGCACGUCACUGCAGCCUAAAAAGGCCGGCUGCUGCACCCACAGCCCACGCCGCGGUCCGUGACUGGGCCGCCUGCCGCGCCUAGCCGCCGCCGUCCGAGGACGGGCCGGCC